GAGUAAUGUCUGGGAAACUGCCUGAUGGAGGGGGAUAACUACUGGAAACGGUGGCUAAUACCGCAUAACGUCGCAAGACCAAAGAGGGGGACCUUCGGGCCUCUUGCCAUCAGAUGUGCCCAGAUGGGAUUAGCUUGUUGGUGAGGUAACGGCUCACCAAGGCGACGAUCCCUAGCUGGUCUGAGAGGAUGACCAGCCACACUGGAACUGAGACACGGUCCAGACUCCUACGGGAGGCAGCAGUGGGGAAUAUUGCACAAUGGGCGCAAGCCUGAUGCAGCCAUGCCGCGUGUAUGAAGAAGGCCUUCGGGUUGUAAAGU
rnacentral:rRNA from 1 species